rnacentral:rRNA from 1 species
AUUGAACGCUGGCGGCAUGCCUUACACAUGCAAGUCGAACGGCAGCACGGGUGCUUGCACCUGGUGGCGAGUGGCGAACGGGUGAGUAAUACAUCGGAACAUGUCCUGUAGUGGAGGAUGGCCCGGCGAAAGCCGGAUUAAUACCGCAUACGAUCUACGGAUGAAAGCGGGGGACCUUCGGGCCUCGCGCUAUAGGGUUGGCCGAUAGCUGAUUAGCUAGUUGGUGGGGUAAAGGCCUACCAAGGCGACGAUCAGUAGCUGGUCUGAGAGGACGACCAGCCACACUAGGACUGAGACACGGCCCAGACUCCUACGGGAGGCAGCAGUGGGGAAUUUUGGACAAUGGGCGAAAGCCUGAUCCAGCAAUGCCGCGUGUGUGAAGAAGGCCUUCGGGUUGUAAAGCACUUUUGUCCGGAAAGAAAUCCUUGGCUCUAAUACAGUCGGGGGAUGACGGUACCGGAAGAAUAAGCACCGGCUAACUACGUG